CCGAUGUGGCUCAAUGGCAGAGCAGUUGAUUUGUAAUCAUCAGGUUGUAGGUUCGACUCCUAUCAUCG
rnacentral:tRNA from 1 species